AAAGGACUGAGGGUUAACUGAGCUGGCAGCUAGUGGAAGCAAAGCAAGGUGGCAGGUUUUGACACUAAAACGUGGUUUUGGUUCCCGCUCUGAACUCGGGCUCAGAAAUGUGCUGGAGAAAUAGAAGAUGAAAACAAAACACUACUACUUUCUUCUUUCUGGCUGUUAUAUUGAUUUAUCAUCGUAUCCUUUUAUUACAGAUGACCUGGGAGUAAAUCCAGCUGAAGCUUCAUAGAUACCAGCCUAGACUCUGAUUCAGCGCUGUCCUGAAACAUGGAAACUGGGACGAGAAUCCAUAUCCACCUCCCAAAGUUCAGACAGGGCAGAACUGGGUGCAUGGGGAGUGCAUGUGAGAAACAGGCAAGGACAGCAGAACCUCUGAAACAGUCACGUAGAUGCGUUUGAUUAUUCAUCCGUGUUGGAUUGUUGAUCUCUCCCGAUAAUAACAGGACCAUAGACACCCAAAGCACGCUCGUUCACAUGGCAUGGAGACAGCUACCCUGGGUGGACAGCUAGGUGGGCUCUAUGUAGAGAUGUGCUCCUCCUGCCCUUGGCCAAGUGACUUACCCAAAGUCACAUUGAAGGCUUCUGCCAGGCCAGACACCAAGCCAGCUCUCCUGAGACCGAGGUCCACAUUUCAAGUAUCGCCCGAGUCUUCCUUCCCAUUUCAAGUUUAUACUCAGUAUGUGCUGUGCGAUCCUCAUUUCUGAUGCAUUGGAACACAGCAGCAAAUCCAUAUUUUUCCAUUUGUCCUCUUUAUGGUACAGCCCAUUUCUGUUGCAAAAACACUGUUAAUAGUUUAUUUAAUGUGUCUUUUAUAAAUCAUUUGAGAAUGCUGAGAUCUGAUUCUUGUACAGGGAAUGAAAUCAUACAGCAUUAAUCCAGUCUUUCUUGCAAUGAUUCUAACGAUGAUGGAAAACAAUAUAAUUAGAAGACAUUCCUACAGCGUGGAAAUUGUAAUUGGAUUGAGAAUUUUAUAGCAGCAGCCUUCAAAAAAUGAACAAGAAUUAGUCAACUAAAGAAAAUAUGCGCAGUUUGUUUCAAGAAGGGGCUGUGUUCUGUGGUUAACUUCGGGGGGUUUUGUUGCUGUUGUUUGGUUUGUUUUUUUUUUUUUUCCCCUAGCAAAUAAGGAAUCCUUAGGGGCUGCAAACAUGGAUUUUUCCCUAGGGAAGCCAGUUGCGGUGCCAGUCGCUCAGCCUGAAGCGGGCACCUCCUGUCCCCUUUGCAUUCCACCUUGAAACUUGGUUGGAGGGUCUCUGGGUGUGUUAUUGCUCCUGUGGAUCGGAGUUACUUUGAGAUUUGGUGGAGAAGCCAGUGCACCCCAAAUGGGGGUGAUAUAAUGACGAGCAAAAAUGAAAGAAAAAACCCCAGACCCUCUGUAAGGGACUGGAAACUUGUCUCAGCGCUGUUGGCAGGACAGUUUAACUACCGAAGGCUCAUCACCUCGGCACCUGAGGGGGCAGUUUAAUCCCCACAGCAGCCCAGUGAGUUCUACCCGACCAGAAUGUGUGUGUCCUGUUGUCUCGGAGCACGUGUCCUCUGCGCAUGCGCCUGGGCCCAGGGUCAACUGACAACAUAUGGGGGGGCUCAGACCCUCUAGAACUUUCCAGCACCCUCUAGUGCUGGUACUGGUCCUGCGCCCCACCGCCGAGCGGGAGGCAGGGCUGUGCAGAACAGUUACUGACUGUGCGAGGACAAUGCUGUAAAAGGGGAAACCAGCAGACACCAUGAGGAGCAUUCUGGAACAUUCCCCCACCGGAUUUGGAGAUACAUCGGACUGACGGGACGCCGCAGAUCCGUGGUGGUAGCUAUCCCAGCUCUCCCUUUCUCCCUUUUUUCUCUUGUUCUCUCCCGUUCUCUUGUGUACUUGUUGUUGGCCAACUAAGGUGACUUGCCACUUGAUCCUGUUUUGAAUCUUAAUCCUGUUUCUGAGAAUGUAACAGGAACCUAGUCAGGAUAACACAUUGGAGUCAAUCAGAAGCUAAGCCCAGCCGCCCCCAACCUCCCGGAAUUGUCUGAGGCCGGUUGGAGAGCAAGGGGGUUUAACCUCUGCCACAUUGUUCAACCCAAGAGUCCAUCGUGACACCCUCAUGAAAUGGGGGUGUUGGAGAGCCUCAUAGAGGAGACGGUGGAGGGGAAGGGGUGUGUGUUUUA